AAUACAUGAUUCGCUUCUAAUCACGUUAUAUUCUUGCUUUGCAAAUGCAUGAGAUUUCCAAAAAGAAAUUAAAUUUUCCAAAUCGAGUCACCAGUUCAGGUCUCGAAUAAUAAGUAAACCCAUUCUUGUCGCGGAGGACCAACUAAUUUAGCGGGUCCACGGAAUUUACAAUACAAAUAUCAUGACAACGUUCUUCUGGGUAACGCAUUCUUCUUUCCAAGUACGUAAGAGGCAUUGGGAAAUUUAAUGGAAGGUUUCUCAGACGAAAAGCGUAGAUUCCUCGGCAAAUUUGGAUGUCAAGGCACUGUUCACAGGGCGUGCACACGGUUGACCACCCCGAAACACCGUUGUUGCAUCGUCUCUCUUUCAUAAUGACGUGUUGCAUUCGCAUAAUCCCAGAGUAACAAUACCAGUCUUUGCUAUUAGUGUUAACAGAGGGAAGCCAAUACGAAGGCUGGGAAAAUUGCUGAUGGGGGCCGUGGCGGAACUUGCCUUUGUUAUAAAAGAAACGGAGACCAACGUUGAACGGACAGUGGUACACUACUGACAGAUCGGAAAAAUUAGUGCAAUUCCUUGAGGAGAUAACAGGUGUGUCAGCUGAUAGAGAAUGGCUUGCUUGAAACUUGAUGAUGUUUCUUUCUAGUACACAGUCCUGCUGCUGGCUGUCAUUAUUAGCAUCGUCGCUGCGAAACCAGGAUACUUAGGUGGAUACUACGGCGGAUAUUAUCCUUAUAUUUAUAGCUACAGAUAUCCGUUCUACGGAUAUGGACACGGAUUCGGACAUUAUGG